ensembl:lncRNA
AGAGAAUUCAGAGCACAGUUCCUAGUUCCUGACCUCUGGUGUGCACCUGUGCGCACAUUCUCAGGAAGCUCCCAUGUUGCCAGGGAUCACAACAACAGUGGGACAAAACAUCGCAGUGGUCUAGAAUCAACUCAGCACAGCUAGAAGUGUCAACACGACUUGAGCAUUGAAGAUGUUGCGAUUGCUGUUUCUGUGUUUGAUUGUGACUCUGCAAGGAGCUGCUGGUACGUAUCACAUGUUCUCACCUUCCCACAAUGCUCUGGCAGCAGACACUGAGACACUGACAAAGAUCUAAUCACACAGAUCACCUUUUUAUUGUUUUUAUGCCUGUAUGUGUUCCAUACGAGAAAUAUACACCGUCUCUCUCUGAGUCCUAUAGCUUCCAGGGGUAGCAGAAUAUUAAGAGGAAAACUGCUUAGAAGAACCUAGGCUGAUACUUAAGAUAGCCUGCAAAGUUCUGUCAUACUUUCCAGGUCUAUGCCCAAACAGUUCCAGCUUCUAAUUUAAAAAAUGAAUCUCUCCAGAAAUAAGUCGCUCACUGUUGUCUCCUGUUAUAGACCCCUCUCAGCUCCCAGCUGUGCUCUGGACUCCAUAUGUGAAUUGAUUGCCCCCCAUCUAUCUUCAGAGUUCAUUCUGUUAGGUGACGGAAACUGGGAUAUGCUUAACAACCCGGCAGUCCUACAAUCUAAACUAGAUGCCCUCAAUCUCACACAAAUGAUCAAGGAACCCACCAGGUACAACCCUAAAUCUGUAAACAUGGGCACCCUCAUAGAUAUUAUCCUCACCAGGAUCUCAGUGAUCACUGCCUCAUUGCCUGCAUCCGCCAUGGGUCCGUGGUCAAACAACCACCACUCAUUACUGUCAAACGCUCCCUAAAAAAACCUCUGUGAGCAGGCCUUUCUAAUCGACCUGGCCUGGGUAUACGGGAAAGAUAUUGACCUCAUCCCAUCAGUCGUUCUUUAAAAGUAAUUUCCUCACCAUCCUAAAUAAACAUGCCCCUUCAAAACAAUGUAGAACUAAGAACAGAUAAAGCCCUUGGUUCACUCCAGACCUGACUGCCCUCGACCAGCACAAAAACAUCCUGUGGCGGACUGCACUAGCAUCGAAUAGUCACCGCGAUAUGCAACUUUUCAGGGAAGUCAGGAAUCAAAACACGCACUCAGGCCGGCAAGCGAAGGCUAGCUUAUUCAAACAGAAAUUUGCAUCCUGUAGCUCUAACUCCAAAAAGUUUUGGGACACUUUAAGGCCACGGAGAACAAGAGCACCUCCUCCCAGCUGCCCACUGCACUGAGUCUAGGUAGUACUGUCACCACCAAUAAAUCCACGAUAAUCGGGAAUUUAAAUAAGCAUUUCUCUACGGCUGGCCAUGCUUUCAUCCUGGCUACCCCAACCCCGGCCAACAGCUCCACACCCCCCGCAGCUACUUUCCCAAGCCUCCCCAGCUUCUCCUUCACCCAAAUCCAGAUAGCAGAUGUUCUGAAAGAGCUGCAAAACUUGGUCCCCUACAAAUCAGCUGGGAUAGACAAUCUGGACCCUCUCUUUCUAAAAUUAUCCGCCGCCAUUGUUGCAACCCCUAUUACCAGUCUGUUCAACCUCUCUUUCCUUUCAUCUGCGAUCCCUACAGAUUGGAAAGCAGCCGCGUCAUCCCCUUCUUCAAAGGGGGUGACAAUCUAGACCCAAACUGUUAUAGACCUAUAUCCAUCCUGCCCUGCCAUUCUAAAGUCUUCAAAAGCCAAGUUAAUAAACAGAUCAUUGACCCUUUCGAAUCCCACUGUACCUUCUCUGCUGUACAAUCCGGUUUCCGAGCUGGUUACGGGUACACCUCAACAAUGCUCAAGGUACUAAACGAUAUGAUAACCGCUAUCGAUAAAAGACAGUACUGUAGAGCCGUCUUCAUCGACCUGGCCAAGGCUGUCGACUCUGUCAAUCACCACAUUCUUAUUCUUAUCGGCAGACUCAACAGCCUUGGUUUCUCAAAUGACUGCCUCGCCUGGUUCAACAACUACUUCUCAGACAGAGUUCAGUGUGUCAAAUCGGAGGGCCUGUUGUCCGGACCUCUGGCAUUCUCUAUGGGGGUAUGACAGGGUUCAAUUCUUGGGCCGACUCUUUUCUCUGUAUAUAUCACUGAUGUCGCUCUUGCUGCGGGUGAUUCCCUGAUCCACCUCUAUGCAGACUACACCAUUCUGUAUACAUCUGGCCCUUCUUUGGGCACUGUGUUAACUCACCUCCAAGCGAGCUCCAAUGCCAUACAACACUCCUUCCGUGGCCUGCAACUGCUCUUAAACGCUAGUAAAAUUAAAUGCAUGCUUUUCAAACGUUCGCUGCUCGCACCUGCCCACCAGCCCAGUAUCACUACUCUGGGCAGUUCUGACUUAGAAUAUGUGGACAACUACAAAUACCUAGGUGUCUGGCUAGACUGCAAACUCGCCGUCCAGACUCAUAUUAAACAUCUCCAAUCCAAAAUCAAAUCUAGAAUCGGCUUCCUUUUUCGCAACAAAACCUCCUUUACUCACACCGCCAAACAUACCCUCGUAAAACUGACUAUCCUACAGAUCCUCGACUUCGGCGAUGCCAUUUACAAAAUAGCCUCCAACACUCUACUCAGCAAACUGGAUGUGGUCUAUCACAGUGCCAUCCGUUUUGUCACCAAAGCCCCUUAUACCACCCACCACUGCGACCUGUAUGCUCUAGUCGGCUGGCCCUCGCUACAUAUUCGUCGCCAGACCCACUGGCUCCAGGUCAUCUAUAAGUCUAUGCUAAGUAAAUCUCCGCCAUAACUCCACUCACUGGUCACGAUAACAACACUCACCCGUGGCACGCGCUCCAGCAGGUAUAUCUCACCGGUCAUCCCCAAAGCCAACACCUCUUUGGCUGCCUUUCCUUCCAGUUCUCUGCUGCCAAUGACUGGAACGAAUUGCAAAAAUCACUGAAGCUGGAGACUAUUCCCCUCACUAACUUUAACCAUCAGCUAUCUGAGCAGCUAACUGAUCGCUGCAGCUGUACAUAACCCAUCUGUAAAUAGCCCACCCAAUCUACCUACCUCAUCCCCAUAUUGUUUUUAUUUACUUUUCUGAUCUUUUUCACACCAAUAUUUCUAUUUACACAUCAUCAUCUACACAUCUAUCACUCCAGUGUUAAUUUGCUAAAUUGUAAUUACUUCGCCACUAUGGCCUAUUUAUUGCCUUGCGAGGGCGCCAUUUGCACACACUGUAUAUAGACUUUCUUUUUUUCUAUUGUGUUAUUGACUGUACGCUUGUUUAUUCCAUGUGUAACUCUGCGUUGUUGUUUCUGUCACACUGCUUUGCUUUAUCUUGGCCAGGUCACAGUUGUAAAUGAAAACUUGUUCUCAACUAGCCUACCUGGUUAAAUAAAGGUGAAAUAUAAAAAUUAAAGUAUAUGUUUAGGAAAGAAUACAUAUACAUUAUAUAAACCACAGUUCAACAUAAAGAAGAUAUGAACCUGUAUAUGCUACAGUAGUGUUUUACUAUCUAUCUAAAGGUGUAGUUAGUUAUUUCCACAAAACUCUGAAACUGGUAAUAUUAAGAUGGCUACCUUUACCAUGAGCUAAAUGCCCUAGCCACAGAAGUAUGGAGUUCAUGAGUGAGUAUAUCAUUGAAUGGAUGGCAGCUCAAUCAUUCUGUAUAUCCCACAGUAGGAGUUCAUAGGAGAGUAGCUCUGCUCCCGUAUAGUGCAGAGAUGUAACGAAUAACCUUAGUGAUGUACAGUAAGAAGCUGCUGUGAGUUAAUCUGGUCCCAUCCUCCUGUCACGGUAGUUAAAAGAAGAGGUUCUCAAUCAGAGACGACAGACAGCUGUCCCUGAUUGAGAACCCUACCCGGCCAAAACAUAGAAAUACAAAUAAUAGAACAUAGAAUACCCACCCCAAAUCACACCCUGGGCGUGACACCUCCCCAUCUCUAUUCCCAUACAGCUUCCUCAGAAGAGAGUGAAGGAUCAGCAGACGUAGCAGGUAUGGAAUACAUCUUCAUCUGGAAACCAAAGGGGACAAAAUCACAUGUGGCAUGAAAUUUUCAUAAAUUCAGAAACAUUUUCAUAAAUUUGACAAAAGUGAUGAUUAUGUUUAGGAGUACCGUGAUGAUUCGAUAAUGUUCCAUGAGUGAACCCUCAAAUGAAGCACUGCAAUAGAACUACUGCUAAUCUUUAAAUGUAAUACAAGCUACUUUAUAUUGAUGCUGACUGGGCUUUUCCCUCUUCCUCUAUUCUGAAUAUCCCACAGACGGAGACGAUGAAGAUCUAUUCAAGCAAAACGGUGAGUUUAACCCUUUAACUCGCCCCCUGUUAGAAAUGUGAUGGGCAAGCAGCCCAGUCAGCAGAGUAAGAGAGAUCACACCUCUGUUACACAACCGUUCCCCUCAUCAUUACCCCCAGAAUGGAAUCAAUUAUCUGUGGGGAGAACCCCCCCUGUGUAUCCAUCAAGCAGAAGUUAGACCCCCCCCCCCUGUCAGGGCACUAAUCCACAUUGGCAUUCUCAUUUCCUCUCGGCAUCGCUAGCUGUCACUCUUCAUCUUCCCCAUGAUGUUGCUUUGAUAUAAUUACAGAGCUAUUUAGUACAGGGAGGACUGCCCCACAGGCCACAUCUUCUGGAGAAGCACCUUCUCUCAGCCAGGCCAGGAGAGGAGCCGCACUGCCGAAGCCCUUCUUCCUCCCCCUCAUCAGAAUCCAGGAGUGAAUGUUGAAUGCUUAAUGAUUGGCUGGGAGUGAAAACGAUCCAAUCAGAAUGAUGAUCUGUUAAAUCUGCCAGUUCUGUUCCUCCUCUGCCACAUUGAUCAGACAGUGAUAGAAUUAGUCAGUGAGCAGAUGAAUGAAUGUUUAUUUAUAUGUGUCUGUACUGGUGAUAUCCUUCUGAAUGGAAAUGGAGGUCGGAGAAUAAUUAGGUGUGUUCUUGCCUGUUUCAGUGAUCCCAAAUCUCAGGAAUGAUUACGUGGUUAUCGAACCUGAAACAAAUGAUAUUGUGGACACAAACAAGGCAACAGGAGAAAAAGUAGGGGAAGAUGGAUUUACUACCAUUGUCAUCAUCGUAGCCGUGAGUGUGGUGGCACUGUCAAUCGCAGUGAUAGUAGCCAUAGUGCUGGUCCGGCGCCGCAUGCACAACCGACCACAAGGGAUCUACUCAGUGCCUACAGAACAGGGAAUGAAAGGAACGGUCUAACCACAAGAUGAGCUCCAGUCCAAUUGGACACCUGCAGGGGAGGAGCUCUACAACACACUGACCUUUGACUCAGGAAGGGAACACUUUCCACCCCAGCCUGCUCUUACUGAACCACUCCCUACUGCUCUCCUCUCUGGGACCAUCUGUUACUGUGUCAUGGGUCCCCUCCAAAGCCAGUGUAACUUAGUUUCCUAUAUUUGGUCUGUUGUUCAUUUUUGUGCCACAUAUCUCAAUGUAUGUGUGUAUAUUUAAAAGGGCAUUCUGCAGUUGCUAAAUCCAUUUCUGGAUGUACUCAUUGAUUCUUGAAUAAUAUAUAUGCCUCAGUUCAACUGUCGUGCCCCAUCAGAACCCAAAACAUAAGCUUGUUUUAUGCCAAUGUUAGCAAACAAAGUAUGUUUAAACAAAUGCUAUAUAGCCUCAAAACAUGGUUAAAACUAUGAUUUUGAUAUCACGGAUAGUCAGUCUUUGCAUCCAUAGCUCAUAGCCUAUGAAUUUGAGAAUGGUUAUAUUUCUCUGGCCCCAUCCCUCAGUUUUUUACCAAAAUAGGGAGAGAACGCUUUAUUGUUUCAACUACGGAUUAUCCCUUUAUGCUUGGGACACAUAGCAACAUUUGGAACCUAAGUUUUGUCAUUGGAUUCUAUUGAAAAACCCUGAAGCCAAUGAAUGUGACCAAAUGUGACAAACUCCUUUUGUCCAAUGGCAUAUUUUUCAAGAAAAACAAGUAUUGCUAAAAGUCAUUUGCAAUUGUUCCGACAGGUUUCUCCGCUCCUUCACUAAACUAAACUGUAUUCAGAGUUGAUUUGGUGCAUUCAGAACAGGCUUUUUUUGCAUGAGAAAAACAAGUUUAAUCCACCCUAAACCAACCCAGUCCUCUCUAAAUUUCCCCAUUCAACUCUGUGACAUAUCCUGUCCUUGGCCUCUUAGUGACAACAGAAAAUACAGUUGAAAGAUAAAACUCUCCCAUCUUCUCAACCUCUGAAGGGGAAAAAAGGAAAAAAAAUGGGUGGAAAAAGCCAGUCAGGUCUGUUUGAACAUUCACUUGAGGUGGAGAAUUAAUCAACUUUAGUGAAUGAUGUUUUCUUUUCAACUCCCCCCAUUCUCUUUUUCUUUUUGAAAUGCUUUUGUUCAAAACGUCAACCACAUCACCGAUUGUAAAUUGCUCUCGGAUGGCUGAGGAAAGUCUGAUUUGAAUGGUUUAUAGUGCUGGGACAGGGACGGGGAUGGGGACGGGGACCGGGGGAUAGAGAGGAUAAAAUAAAGUGUGGGGGUAGGUAGGGUGGGAUGUGAGUGGGGAAAUACCCACCAUGCCCAUGUUUCAUUCAUACUGAGUACAGGGCCGCUCCACGAUCGCUCCCUGGCUCUACUUUCAUUUAAAUGGAAAUCAAUCAUGCCCCGUGAACAAAAGCUUUAGGGCCGAGGUGCUGGCUGGCUUAUUUCUUACUCUGCAUUACAGAGAAAGGCAGGGGUCAGAGGAGAGGGGGAGGUGGACAUUAUGUGCUUCUGCAUGACAGGGCUAUUCAUUUGUUGCGUUAUCAUGAGGGAACAAGGGUUGUUGUGAGUGUGUGUGAAUUACACCCACGAUCAAGUAGUGUUGAAAUAACUGGGUCUGUCUAAACAGCAUGCGCACUGUCUUUCUCCACUCAACCUUACUGCUGUGAUGUCAUCAGCUGGGGAUGGGCUUGGCUCCAGGCUGUACAGAAACACCUGUGUAAUUAGCGCCUCCAUCUCAUUUUGUGUUAUCUGGUUCACUCAAUCAGAAUUGUCCCAAUCUGUUUAAGUUGAUGAAAUUCAAUUAGUAGCUGGUGCUGCUAAUAGUGAGAAACAGAUCCUAAAUGCAUACGGAGUGGUAUGUGUGUGUCUGCACUCUGCAGGUGUUUGUGGGGUUUGAUUGAAGCAUCACAACUAGCCCAGUAAGCCUUUCUUAGAUGUAGUCUAGCUCUGACAGCAUUUCAAAAGGAGAAUAAUUUGACAUACAUUUAAAAGAACUUUCACUUACCCUUUGUUUACUGACCACAGUCAUAUUCAAGAAAGCCUUUUUCCCUACUCAGAAAUAGCAUGAGAAAUACCCUUCACCUGCAAAGCAGAUGUUGUGGUUACGAGUCUGCGACUAGUCUCACUAUAAGAUGAGGUUUGCAUAGAACAGUUUUUCUUGUUCACGAUACAAAGAACAUCUAAGAACCGUUCAAGCAAGCAUGUUGAAUAAGCCAUGAACCAAAUAAAGUGCAGAAAUCCUAAAAGAAUUGGUUUGACCUGUGUAAUGCCCUGUUCAUUCAGCUACACUCGCACAUCUCCGUGGCAUUAUGCUCCUUCAAAGCCACAAAGCAUUGCUAUUGUGAAUGCAUCAAAACUGAUUGUCCUCCAUUUAUUUCUUCCAGGCCUUACGUUGAAAAGGGUAUGAAAUGUUCAAAUAUUGGAAAAAAAUAUUGGAUUUUCAAAAGAGCUCCAUGGGCUUUUUCAGCUGUGCAAAAGUUUCUCUAGGUCAUUUUUCAUCUAAUCUUUAUUUUUUUGUCAAGAGAAAGCACUAUCGAGUUCAGCCAAUCCUUGACACUGUCAGACAUGUCAGUAACUUAUUAUACAAAAGUCCUUACACCACCCCCUCUCCAAAAAAACUGUUGUGCCUUCUGUCUUUUGAUGAAAAUAGGAAAAUGUAUCAACCAGCAGAUUUUGUUUGAUGAGCUUGAUGCAUUUCAGGGAUGAUGCGUCCUCUGCACAGCAAUACGUUAUGCAAAUGUCUUCCAAAAAAUUAUUUUCUUUGACAAGUAGCUUGGUGUAUUAUUAUAUUGUUAUGAAAUGUCCUAUUGUAAACUCAAUAUUCAAAUGAUAAUUUAGUCUUUUAGUUAAGCACACGUCUUCAGCAGUACUCAUAAUCAAUGCUGAUAAACCCUGUACAUUCUGUUUGCUCAGGAUCAUUAACUAUUUGUAACGUACAGCAGCGAAGUGUUUUGACAAUGCUCUAUAUUUCAUCCAUUCCUAUGUCUAUGAAUCUGAGUCUGCUUUAGAAUAACGAGACCUGCACUAAAAGUGUAAUCUUGCUGUUCUACUUGUACUGUAGGUUUCCACAGCCCACACAUUCUCCAAUCAUUCAAUUUGGACUAGCAUUACUUAUGUUCUGUAUAUGGCUCUUCUAUAUCAUGGAUUAUGACUAUUUUUACAUUAAAUGUGUUCUGCUAUGCUUUGUCUCGGCGUGAAUGCUUCACGAUAUGCCAUAUGGACACAGAGCUGGUACACUAUAUGGCAUAAUCCAAAGUUUUGCUCAUUUAAAUUGUAAAUUGUACAAUGAAAAGCCACUAAGAAGCUUAAAAUAACUUUCUACUAAAACAUUUUGUCAGUCUGUUUUCUGAGUAAAGAACAUGCUGGAACUACUGACCAUCUGUUUUCUUUGUGAGUUAUACAAUACAGGAAAGGGAAGCGAACAGGUUUUAUUUUUACAUCCUGAUAACUUUAGGGGUAUUUUGAAGAUUAACAGAUAGUGGAAUGUUUUUCAGGGCCAUUUUAUUCAUGAGGCUUAUUGUAUGAGGCUCGGCCGUUUCUGAGGUAAUGAUUUUAAACGUUUUCAUAGAAACAGCUUGGCUAGAGUUGAGCAGGCUGUUCGAUAGAGGAGGUGGAAACCUGAAUUCAAACAUGACUCAUCUUGUCAUUAUCCAGCCAGACUCGCAAUUAAUUUUAAUUUCAAAGUUGAAUUCGGUAAUGGAAAUAACAUUUAACAAAGACUAACAGGAAAAUAAUGCCCCUAUUCUUCACUUGUCAGCGUGACUCAUUUGUCCAUGGUUUAUUCUGGAGUUUUUUACAUUUAUUUUUUAUUUUCUCUCCACCUCUCUGUUCUGUUAUAAGGACAAUCAUGUGGCCAGUGACACUUUAAUUCUUGAAAGUCCAAUAUCUUGAAAACUUGACUGUUGACAUGCAAAACAUUUUGGAUCUGUAUUAACAGUGCAUUAAUGAAAAAAAUACCCAAAUAUAGUUUGAGUCGAAUUUCCAUUUAAAGGUAGAACAGAGAAGCUUCUCAGACACCUAUGUCUGUAUUGUGCCUUUGGCAUGUAGUAUUGGCAAUUCCCUACCCGGAACCAGAGGGACUGUUCGGUUAGAUGAGGCUGUCAGAGGCAUGAUGGACCUCCAUAAUAUCUGUGGAAAUGAGACCAUGAACAGGACAUGUAUGUGAUUUAUUAGAGAAAAUGUCAUCCACGUUGGUGACAAAUCUACAGAUAAAAUCUACAUGAAAAUCUGUGAAAAGCUAGGCAUGGAAUUUGCUGUCUCUGUGAUAUGAGAAAAAA